CCUCCCCCCCGCACCUGGUGACUCCGCGGGUCACUUCCGAUGGUCACCUAGGACCGCGGGGUGGCGCGGAGCAGACCCGCUUUUCAGGAUCCAGGCUGGGCAGACUGCUGACCGCCCCGGGGGUCGGCGCUCCCACAGACAGCUCUGCCGGAAUCUUCUUCCUCUGCACCGCUCGGUGACUUCAUCCAGUCCAAGAGCUCAGACAUCUGUGUUCUGAAUGAGCUUCAGGCGCUUGCGUCCAGUAGCCCGUUUGAUUAUGCCACCUUGAUGUCCUUUGGCAGCUCAAGUUUCAGGUGUAAACAGGUGCCUUUUUCUUCCCUUCAAAAGGACGAAACUGGAAAAACAUGACCCGUGUGCUGAGAUGGAUUCUUCACCUCUAGUGGGAACCCUAAUAUAAGCUGUGGACUUCGGAUGUGUCGAUAUAGCUCUUCUUAUCUGCUCACCCUGAUCAAUGGUUAGCUAUGUUAGGAGCUGCCCUGUGGAGAGACUCCUGUGGUCAAGAACUUGCUGUCCGAACAACAAUCAGCAAGGAACUGGAUAACAACAACCAGCAAGGAACUGGAUCCUGCCAACAAGCAGUGCAUGAGGUCAGAGCGGAUCUUUCCCCCAGCUGUGCCUGGAGAUGACUUCAGCCACACCCGGCACCUUGACUGCAGCCCAUGGAGACCCUGACGCAGAGAACCCGCCUAAGCUGCAUGCAGAUGUCUGACCCGCAGCAAUGUGAGAUAAUAAAUGUCAUCAUUUAAGCUGGGACCUAACAGACCUGUGGAUAGAUAAACACCAGCCAGAACAGCCAACAGGCUUCCCAGGUGGUGCUAGUGGGGAAGAACCCGCCUGCCAGUCCAGGAGACCUAAGAGACUGUGGUCCAGUCCCUGGGUGGAGAAGGUCCCCCAGAGAAGGAAAUGGCAACCCACUCCAGUAUUCUUGCCUGGAGAAUUCCAUGGACAGAGGAGCCUGGAGGGCUACAGUCCACGGGGUCGCACAGAGUCAGACACGACUGAGCGCACACACUGAGCAGUAGAUCCGACAGCUGGGAAUUUCGAAAGGAAAUCUGCGAGUCCACAGACUUGAAAUAGCUCAACUGGAAUUCCAUCGCCUCCACUAGCCCUGUUGGUAGCGAUGCUGCCUAAGGCCCACUUGACUUCACAUUCCAGGAUGUCUGGCUCUGGGUGAGUGAUCAUGCCAUCUACAUGUAGCAGUGUGUAUAUGUCCAUCCCGGUCUCCCGAAUCAUCCUCCAUCCUUGCCCCCUCUCCUUUGGGAACCAUAAGUUUGUCCUCAUGUCUGUGAGUCUGUCCCUGUUCUUUAAAUAAGUUCAUCCAUAUCAUUUAUUUGAGAUUCCACAUAGGAGUGACAUUUUUCUCUGUGUGACUCACUUCAC
ensembl:lncRNA